CGUUAAAUCCGUCGCAACAGAUGACAGAGAAAAUGAAGACUUCUGUUAUCAAUUCAACGCCCGGGAAAAGGGAGAAUACAGGAGUAGAGAGCGAAAUGCAUAGAAGAGAUAAUCAGAAUUUGGACGGCCAGGAAAGAUUGGAGUCGGCAGUGAAUGCCAUGAAUACCUCAG